CAGCUGUAAACUAUGUGCGUUAGGUGUGUCAGUGACCACGUGUCACUGAGGUGCCGAAGGGAAACCGUGAAACGCACCGCCUGGGGAGUACGGUCGCAAGGCUGAAACUUAAAGGAUUGGCGGGGGAGCACCACAACGGGUGGAGCCUGCGGUUUAAUUGGAUUCAACGCCGGAAAUCUUACCGGGACCGACAGCAACAUGAAGGCCAGGCUGAAGACUUUGCCGGAUUAGCUGAGAGGAGGUGCAUGGCGUAGUCGUGU
rnacentral:rRNA from 1 species